rnacentral:rRNA from 1 species
AACGAACGCUGGCGGUAUGCUUAACACAUGCAAGUCGAACGGCAGCGCGGGGCAACCUGGCGGCGAGUGGCGAACGGGUGAGUAAUACAUCGGAACGUACCCAGAAGUGGGGGAUAACGUAGCGAAAGUUACGCUAAUACCGCAUACGUUCUACGGAAGAAAGUGGGGGACCUUCGGGCCUCAUGCUUUUGGAGCGGCCGAUGUCUGGUCAGCUAGUUGGUGAGGUAAAGGCUCACCAAGGCGACGAUCAGUAGCUGGUCUGAGAGGACGACCAGCCACACUGGGACUGAGACACGGCCCAGACUCCUACGGGAGGCAGCAGUGGGGAAUUUUGGACAAUGGGCGCAAGCCUGAUCCAGCAAUGCCGCGUGAGUGAAGAAGGCCUUCGGGUUGUAAAGCUCUUUUGUCAGGGAAGAAACGGCUGAGGUUAAUACCUUUGGCUAAUGACGGUACCUGAAGAAUAAGCACCGGCUAACUACGUGCCAGCCGCCGCCGUAAGAC